GUCUACAGCCAUACCACCCUGAAAGUGCCUGUUCUUGGAAGCUAAGCAGGGUUGGGUCUGGUUAGUACUUGGAUGGGAGACUGCAGGGUAAUACCAGGAGCCAUAGGCU
rnacentral:rRNA from 1 species